GAUGCUCCAACCAACUGAACCACCCAGCCCAGGUCUAUGUGACUGAGAAAUAGAGGGAAAUAAAACAACCAGAAUAUAGAAGAUGAAAAAAAAAACCUCUCUUCUCCACAAGCUACUACUCCUAGGAGAAUGAGGUUGGCCUAGUUGAAUUUGAUGAGGUUGACUACUAUGUGACUAAGGAGGACAUAAAUCAUGGCAUUUGAAGAACAUCCUGAAU